rnacentral:rRNA from 1 species
UACGUAGGGGGCUAGCGUUGUCCGGAAUCAUUGGGCGUAAAGCGCGUGUAGGCGGUUCGGUAAGUCUGCUGUGAAAGUCGGGGGCUCAACCCUCGGAUGCCGGUGGAUACUGCUGGGCUAGAGUACGGAAGAGGCGAGUGGAAUUCCUGGUGUAGCGGUGAAAUGCGCAGAUAUCAGGAGGAACACCAAUUGCGAAGGCAGCUCGCUGGGACGUUACUGACGCUGAGACGCGAAAGCGUGGGGAGCGAACAGG